GACGAACGCUGGCGGCGUGCUUAACACAUGCAAGUCGUACGGUAAGGCCCUUUCGGGGGUACACGAGUGGCGAACGGGUGAGUAACACGUGCGUAACCUGCCCACAACUUUGGGAGAACGCUAGGAAACUGGUGCUAAUACUGGAUAUGUGCUCCUGCUGCAUGGUGGGGGUUGGAAAGCUCCGGCGGUUGUGGAUGGACUCGCGGCCUAUCAGCUUGUUGGUGGGGUGGUGGCCUACCAAGGCGGCGACGGGUGGCCGGCCUGGGAGGGUGGCCGGCCCAAAUGGGGAUGGGAUACGGCCCAGGCCCCCACGGGGGGGAGCAGGGGGGGAUUUUGCACAAUUGGGGGAAGCCUGAAGCAGCAACGCCGCGGGGGGGAUGAAGGGCCUCGGGUUGUAAACCGGUUUCAGCAGGGACGGAGCUUUUUGUGACGGUAAUUGCAAAAGAAGCACCGGCUAACUACGUG
rnacentral:rRNA from 1 species